rnacentral:rRNA from 1 species
CUCGAUAGGAAGGCAAUGACUUCCAUCACCACGCUUGUGUGUUGGACUAUUUGGAACGAAAGAAAUGCACAGGUUUUUCACAACAAGAGUGCACCGCCGCUGAUUUUGAUAUGCGCCUUAAAAGAUGAAGCUUGGCUGUGCGUGAUCGCGGGCGCAAAGAAAUUAGGUGCCAUCUUAUCAGGAUAG